UCAAUGGAAAUGAAUCAACACAACAUGACCAUUGUCAGUAUGGCCACCACCAUAGAGUCAUUAGCUGCCUAUAAUCAAAGUUAGACAAAGGCCGGUUGGCCACUGAAGCAUGACAUUGUGGAUGAGGUGCGGGAUACUGCAGGCUGACCACACAUCUGUCGUAAAUGCGACACGUGACAGUCUGAUCAGACCCUUAGGGAUAAAUUGAGAAUGCUUUGGGUUAGUCGAGACUUGGCCCUGAGACAGCGACUAGGCAGUUUGGCUGACCAUCGCCUCCGAUAUGCCGCCUAGUCAUUGUUGUAACAUCAUGUAGUUAUACACAUUGAAUCACGAAUAAAAGUGUUGUGGACCCACUGGUGGACUUCUGUCAUUGAAGACACAGUUAUCCCUCCAAACAGCCCGGGAUACUUGCGCAUGUUAUAUAUUGUUUUGUGCAC